ACGGGUGAGUAACACGUGAGUAAUCUGCCCCUGGCUUUGGGAUAGCCACCGGAAACGGUGAUUAAUACCGGAUACGACAACUUCUCGCAUGGGAUGGUUGUGGAAAGUUUUUCGGCCAGGGAUGUGCUCGCGGCCUAUCAGCUUGAUGGUGAGGUAAUGGCUCACCAUGGCUUCGACGGGUAGCCGGCCUGAGAGGGUGACCGGCCACACUGGGACUGAGACACGGCCCAGACUCCUACGGGAGGCAGCAGUGGGGAAUAUUGGACAAUGGGCGGAAGCCUGAUCCAGCAACGCCGCGUGAGGGAUGACGGCCUUCGGGUUGUAAACCUCUUUCAGCAGGGACGAAGCGCAAGUGACGGUACCUGCAGAAGAAGCACCGGCCAACUACGUGCCAGCAGCCGCGGUAAUACGUAGGGUGCGAGCGUUGUCCGGAAUUAUUGGGCGUAAAGGGCUCGUAGGCGGUUUGUCGCGUCGGGAGUGAAAACCAGGUGCUUAACACCUGGCUUGCUUUCGAUACGGGCAGACUAGAGGUAUUCAGGGGAGAACGGAAUUCCUGGUGUAGCGGUGAAAUGCGCAGA
rnacentral:rRNA from 1 species